AUUUUAAUCAAAACAAAUAUAUUAAUUAUUAUUUAAUAGUUAAACUAAGUAUUAUGACAACCGUCCAAAUUGGAUGAGAAUAGUUUCUCAAAGUUUCUCCUUCGAGAAACUCAACUCUCCCUCUCUCAUACUUUUUUUUUGAAUU
rnacentral:sRNA from 1 species